UACAGGGGGGGCAAGCGUUGUUCGGAAUUACUGGGCGUAAAGGGCUCGUAGGUGGCCAACUAAGUCAGACGUGAAAUCCCUCGGCUUAACCGGGGAACUGCGUCUGAUACUGGAUGGCUUGAGUUCGGGAGAGGGAUGCGGAAUUCCAGGUGUAGCGGUGAAAUGCGUAGAUAUCUGGAGGAACACCGGUGGCGAAGGCGGCAUCCUGGACCGACACUGACACUGAGGAGCGAAAGCCAGGGGAGCAAACGGG
rnacentral:rRNA from 1 species